GACGAACGCUGGCGGCGUGCCUAAUACAUGCAAGUUGAGCGAUGAAGCUUGGUGCUUGCACCAAUUUGAAGAGCAGCGAACGGGUGAGUAACGCGUGGGGAAUCUGCCUUUGAGCGUGGGACAACAUCUGGAAACGAAUGCUAAUACCGCAUAACAACUUUAAACAUAAGUUUUAAGUUUGAAAGAUGCAAUUGCAUUACUCAAAGAUGAUCUCGCGUUGUAUUAGCUAGUUGGUGAGGUAAAGGCUCACCAAGGCGAUGAUACAUAGCCGACCUGAGAGGGUGAUCGGCCACAUUGGGACUGAGACACGGCCCAAACUCCUACGGGAGGCAGCAGUAGGGAAUCUUCGGCAAUGGACGAAAGUCUGACCGAGCAACGCCGCGUGAGUGAAGAAGGUUUUCGGAUCGUAAAACUCUGUUGGUAGGGAAGAACGUUAGUGGGAGUGGAAAGCGCAUCAAGUGACGGUAACUACCCAGAAAGGGACGGCUAACUACGUG
rnacentral:rRNA from 1 species